rnacentral:rRNA from 1 species
CUUUUAUGGAGAGUUUGAUCCUGGCUCAGGACGAACGCUGGCGGCGUGCCUAAUACAUGCAAGUCGAGCGGAGUUAUUCCUUCGGGGAUAGCUUAGCGGCGGACGGGUGAGUAACACGUAGGCAACCUGCCUGUAAGACCGGGAUAACAUUCGGAAACGAAUGCUAAUACCGGAUAUGCAAUUUAGCUGCAUGGCUGAAUUGGGAAAGACGGUGCAAGCUGUCACUUACAGAUGGGCCUGCGGUGCAUUAGCUAGUUGGUGGGGUAACGGCUCACCAAG